rnacentral:misc_RNA from 1 species
AAGUCGUAGCAAGGUUUCCGUAGGUGAACCUGCGGAAGGAUCAUUACCGUAGUUCUCCUGCAGUACUGCCAGGACCUCCACCCUUGAUUAUCUAUAUGCGUUGCUCGGCGAGACGCUGGAAACAGCCAUUGACCUCUCACGUCGAUGCGUGCUCGCCGAAGUUUCAUACUCUACAUUAUGUGUCGUCAGAGAAUCAAAAAUCUAAAAAA